GCUCAGGAUGAACGCUGGCGGCGUGCCUAAUACAUGCAAGUCGAGCGAACAGAUAAGGAGCUUGCUCCUUUGACGUUAGCGGCGGACGGGUGAGUAACACGUGGAUAACCUACCUAUAAGACUGGGAUAACUUCGGGAAACCGGAGCUAAUACCGGAUAACAUAUUGAACCGCAUGGUUCAAUAGUGAAAGGCGGCUUUGCUGUCACUUAUAGAUGGAUCCGCGCCGUAUUAGCUAGUUGGUAAGGURACGGCUUACCAAGGCAACGAUACGUAGCCGACCUGAGAGGGUGAUCGGCCACACUGGAACUGAGACACGGUCCAGACUCCUACGGGAGGCAGCAGUAGGGAAUCUUCCGCAAUGGGCGAAAGCCUGACGGAGCAACGCCGCGUGAGUGAUGAAGGUCUUCGGAUCGUAAAACUCUGUUAUCAGGGAAGAACAAAUGUGUAAGU
rnacentral:rRNA from 1 species